rnacentral:rRNA from 1 species
UACGUACGAGGCGAGCGUUAUCCGGAAUUACUGGGCGUAAAGCGCGCGCAGGUGGCUUGCUAAGUCGGACGUGAAAUCUCCCGGCCUAACUGGGAGGGGUCGUCCGAGACUGGCCGGCUUGAGGCUGGCAGAGGUAGGUGGAAUUCCUGGUGUAGUGGUGAAAUGCGUAGAGAUCAGGAGGAACACCGGUGGCGAAGGCGGCCUACUGGGCCAGCACUGACGCUGAGGAGCGAAAGCGUGGGGAGCGAACAGG